UAAUACAGAGGUCUCAAGCGUUAAUCGGAAUUACUGGGCUUAAAGGGUGCGUAGGCGGACUCGCAAGUGCUUUGUGAAAUCCCACGGCUCAACCGUGGAAUUGCUUGGCAGACUGCGGGUCUUGAGGUUGGUAGGGGUCGCCGGAACUCUAGGUGGAGCGGUGAAAUGCGUAGAUAUCUAGAGGAACGCCAAAGGUGAAGACAGGCGACUGGGCCAAAUCUGACGCUGAGGCACGAAAGCGUGGGGAGCGAACGGGAUUAGAUACCCCGGUAGUCCACGCCCUAAACGAUGUGCACUAGAUCGCGGGGGCUCUGACGCCAUCGUGGUCGAAGAAAAAUUGAUAAGUGCACCGCCUGGGGAGUACGGUCGCAAGGCUA
rnacentral:rRNA from 1 species